rnacentral:lncRNA from 1 species
UCUUCGGGAGACGUCUCGUUCUCAGAGGCCUAAAAGAUGAUUCUCUGUCUUUUGAACUGUUCUGCCUCGGAGUCGACUCGGGCCUUGUUGGAGUCGACUCGGCUAACUUGGGAGUCGACUCUGAAGUACUUGGAGUCGACUCGUUCACAGGAUCUCCAAGACUGAGUCUCUGCCUUUCAGACUAUUUUUCUCUAGGAGUCGACUCGAACAAACUGGGAGUCGACUCGGCUAAUGUGGAAGAUUCUGCAGUCUCAUUGUUAGUAUGCAAUUGAAGCAUAUGUGAGCUAAUCUGAGAUUUAUCAUAAAU